UAGUCCACGCCCUAAACGAUGUACACUAGUUGUUGUGAGGCUAGACCUUGCAGUAAUGCAGUUAACACAUUAAGUGUACCGCCUGGGGAGUACGGUCGCAAGAUUAAAACUCAAAGGAAUAGACGGGGACCCGCACAAGCGGUGGAGCAUGUGGUUUAAUUCGACGAUACGCGAAGAACCUUACCUGGACUUGACAUAGAAAGAAUAACGCAGAGAUGUGAUAGUGCUAGCUUGCUAGAACUUUCAUACAGGUGCUGCACGGCUGUCGUCAGCUCGUGUCGCGAGAUGUUGGGUUAAGUCCCGCAACGAGCGCAACCCUCGCCUUUAGUUGCCAUCAUUUGGUUGGGCACUCUAAAGGGACUGCCGGUGUCAAACCGGAGGAAGGUGGGGAUGACGUCAAGUCCUCAUGGCCUUUAUGACCAGGGCUACACACGUACUACAAUGGCAUGUACAAAGGGCAGCGAGCUCGCGAGAGUCAGCGAAUCCCAUAAAGCA
rnacentral:rRNA from 1 species